UACGUAGGGCGCAAGCGUUGUCCGGAAUUAUUGGGCGUAAAGAGCUCGUAGGCGGUUUGUCGCGUCUGCUGUGAAAACCUAAGGCUCAACCUUGGGCUUGCAGUGGGUACGGGCAGACUAGAGUGCGGUAGGGGUGACUGGAAUUCCUGGUGUAGCGGUGAAAUGCGCAGAUAUCAGGAGGAACACCGGUGGCGAAGGCGGGUCUCUGGGCAACAACUGACGUUGAGGGACGAAGGCUCGGGUAACGAACAGG
rnacentral:rRNA from 1 species